rnacentral:rRNA from 1 species
UACGAAGGGUGCUAGCGUUGUUCGGAAUUACUGGGCGUAAAGGGCGCGUAGGCGGUUAUAUAAGUCAGAUGUGAAAGCCCCGAGCUUAACUUGGGAACAGCAUUUGAUACUGUGUGACUAGAGUACGAGAGAGGAAAGUGGAAUUGCGAGUGUAGAGGUGAAAUUCGUAGAUAUUCGCAAGAACACCAGUGGCGAAGGCGACUUUCUGGCUCGUAACUGACGCUGAGGUGCGAAAGCGUGGGGAGCAAACAGG